rnacentral:lncRNA from 1 species
GCCAAAUAAAACUGUUUCCUGCUAUCUUCGGUGCCUUGCCUUGUUUGUCCCUACAAUAGGAUAAUUUCAGAGGACUGUCUAUAUUUCUAGUUCCUAAUGAAAAAAAAUAUCAGAAGAUGACUGCCUAUCUGGGACUUUAUUCCUCCCUGGCAACAUUGGCUGCCCCCUCUUGGAGGUUUAUGCCUUCUCUGGUUUGCCACUGUCCCUUGCCACCUUCCAUUAAUCUCCAGCAGAGAGGUGGGGGACAGCUGCCAUGAUUCACCCCGGACUCAUCUCACUCAUUUGCACCCUCCAGUCAUUGAGUGUGGGGCUUAUGCACUGAUAAAGGGAGGGAGUACUCCUGUGGAAUUUUCAGUUGGUCCAAACACAGCCAAAGGGCUGUGAUCUGUAUGAACAGGCGCAUUUAAAAUUCAACAAAAUUAAAAAAAAAUAAAACAAAACCAAAGUUCAAUUCUCUAUUGUAGAAUAUUUCAAACAUAUACAAAAGUAGAGAAAUAGCACACAUCCAUCUCUUCAUAAAGAAUUGUUUCAUCAACUCCCUCAUGAUAUUCGCCUCUACCCCUGAAAAUCCCAGAGAGAGUUUAAUUUAUUUUACUAAAACUGCAUUAGGUUUGCCCGACAGGUAACCACAGUAUGAUUUCUGCAACUAACAAGAACAACAGUAAUUGCUUAGCCUCAUCUCAUACCUAGUCUACGUUCAAGUUUCUACAACUGUCUCUGAAAGGUAUGUUUAAAUUAAGAUCCAAACAAGAUACAUACUUUGAAUUUGACCAAUGUAUUUUUACAAUUUCUAUUAAUCUCUAUUAAUUCUCUUUCAUCCCACAGUCUAUUAAAACAUUUAUGUGACAAAUCUGCC